UACGGAGGGUGCAAACGUUAAUCGGAAUUACUGGGCGUAAAGCGCGCGUAGGCGGUUUGUUAAGUCGGAUGUGAAAGCCCUGGGCUCAACCUGGGAAUGGCAUCCGAGACUGGCAGGCUAGAGUGCAGCAGAGGGGUGUGGAAUUCCCGGUGUAGCGGUGAAAUGCGUAGAUAUCGGGAGGAACAUCAGUGGCGAAGGCGGCACCCUGGACUGAUACUGACACUGAGGUGCGAAAGCGUGGGGAGCAAACAGG
rnacentral:misc_RNA from 1 species